rnacentral:rRNA from 1 species
UACGGAGGGUGCGAGCGUUGUCCGGAAUCAUUGGGCGUAAAGGGCGCGUAGGUGGCCCGGUCAGUCUUUGGUGAAAGCGCGGGGCUCAACCCUGCGUCGGCCAGGGAUACUGCCGCGGCUCGAGCACUGUAGAGGCAGGCGGAAUUCCCAGUGUAGCGGUGAAAUGCGUAGAUAUUGGGAAGAACACCUGAGGCGAAGGCGGGUUGCUGGGCAGUAGCCGAAAGGCUUUCAAGCUGACACUGAGGCGCGACAGCGUGGGGAGCAAACAGG